rnacentral:misc_RNA from 1 species
ACUUGUUUCCACAAGUGAUAUUCCGAGACUAACAGUGAAAAAAAUUAAUUGAAUAAUAAGAAAAUUUUUGACAGAAUAUUGUGAUUCUAAUUCACUUGAAUUUGAUUCAUGGGCCAGGGUGAGAAACAGCUCCUUGAAAGGGUCAAGGAGGGCAGUACUCUCAACACCAUACCUGGCUUAGAGCAUGGUUCCAGUAAUGGUUUUCUAAGGAAUAGGGAAAGGCAAUAUAGGAAUGCAAAACCAACUACAGUAUAACAAAAUCAGAACAAAGCAGGGAAGUAAUUUUGUGAGAAAAUUUUGCAUGUGGUUUAAUACCCCUGUGAUAUAAAAACCAUUUUUAAAUGAAGAGCUUUUCAAUGACAAAUGAGUAUUGGCUCCCAACAAAUAGAUUCUCUUGUUUUGAAUCUGCCUUGUUGUGUCUAGAAAAGGCUGAUGCAUAACAUAAAUUAGGGUGACUAAACAACAAGGCCACCAUCCACACAAUUUGAAUUCAGCACCUUUUUUUAUCCUCUUCUAUAGCACAAGCUUACAGGUUAGUUGGUUAAGGAUGAUUCUUUAGUACAAGAUAUAAGUGUUCUCAUAGAAUUUGAUAAUCCUAGGGAUCUUGAACCUGAAGAUUCUUAUAAAUUAUAAGAGACCAAGAAAUGGCAAAGAAAAAGAAAACCAGCUCUUCUAAAAUCAUGAAAUUGCUGUAUAAUGCAAUUCAAAAACAAUCAGCUUACCAAAUCACUGCGCUCAACGACACG